UUACAUUAUUGUAUUUUAAUUACAGGCUCAGUUUCUCUCAUAGUGCUGAUUUCUGCUGCUGGACCUCUGUUGAUUGUAGCUGCAGUUAUGAUCUUCUGCAUCUGCAGGAAACAUAGAAAAACUGAUCAUGAAGUUGAGACCUGUGAUGAAGACAUAAUUUAUGCUGAUCCCAUUUUUCUCAAAAGAAAAUGAAAAAUCGCAACUGAGAACCACUGGAGGACUGCUUGAUCUGCUUGAUGAG